CUGAUCUUCUGAGUCCCAAUCCAUAUCUUAACCACAAGACCUUUCUUUCUCUCCGUAUACAUAAGAGGACUAUUGACUAUGUAACAACUACAACUAUGGUUACACCUGUGAAAUGCCCACUAGGCAGUAUGCAAUCAGCCUGGAUGGGCCAUUAGGAAAGACAAUGGUUCUUUGGAGAUGCUGAUCUCUCAUCUUCCUGAGUUCCUUCCUGUGGAUGUUACAAAUAAACCUUGUCUCAGGAUUGCUUUAACCCUGCAAGAUCAUGUGAUGAUGUCACUUGGUAUGGAGUACCACGUUGGACACUGCUGGUAUUUUUCCACUGGAAAAAAAGGAUUCCAGCCUUAUGUAAAUUCUAUUUAAGGCUGGGAACUGAGUUAAUCUUGGCUCUUCUCCACUACCUCCCCGCCCAAGAAGGAAGACUGUUGAAAACACCUAAAGAAACAAAGGAUUUAAGCUGGGGAAAGGCAAGAGUUGAGUCCAGGCUGAGGCAAGGGUCUAGCCUGUGAAGAGAAAUAACAGGAAUGCUGAGCUGCAGAAACUCUGCAGCCUGCCUAAAACAGCAUUUAUGUCUCUCCCUCUGUUAAAUGAAGACAGCCACUUCCUAUUUCACAUGGGUGUUUGAGGUUUAGUUGUUUGUGAGUGCUUUGAACAUCUUGCACAUAAAGUGCUAUGGGUCAAAUUCGACCAUUGACUACCCAAGACUCUGACUGACUUGGAAACUGCUUACAGAUGUCCAAAGAUAGUAUGUGGCCCUAAGAGAGACUUGGUCUGGAAGGGGGAAAAAAAAAAGUAAAGAGGAAAAAAAACCUGUGCCUGACCAUGACAGAUGGGAGAAAGAAAGAAGUCCCUGUUUUAGCCACCUGCUAUUUGAUCAGAAAUGGACAAUUCUGACAAAAGGCCACAAAGGAUCAAUACCCAAAGGCAGCAAGUGCACAGGCGAUCCUAGGCAGAUGUUACCUACUUCUAAGAUACCUAUGGGUGUGGUUGAUUUAUUUGCCUUUUAACACAAUUUGGCAACAUUUGUGCAGUUUAUGUCAGCAUUGAAUUGGACUGAAAAAUA